AAGCGGCAACAGCUCAAAUUUGAAAGCUGGCUCCUCUGGGGCCCGCGUUGUAAUUUGCAGAGAGUGCUUCGGGCGCGGCGCCGGUCUAAGUUCUUUGGGACGAGACGUCAUGGAGGGUGAGAACCCCGUAUGUGACUGGUGGCCUGUGCCCGUGUGAAGCCUCUUCGACGAGUCGAGUUGUUUGGGAAUGCAGCUCAAAAUGGGUGGUGUAUUUCAUCUAAAGCUAAAUAUUGGCCAGAGACCGAUAGCGCACAAGUAGAGUGAUCGAAAGAUGAAAAGCACUUUGGAAAGAGAGUUAAACAGUACGUGAAAUUGUUGAAAGGGAAGCGCUUGCAAGCCAGACUUGCGCGGCGCCGUUCCGCCGGGGUUUUGCUCCGGCGCACUCGGCGCCGCCCAGGCCAGCAUCAGUUUUGGCGGCGGGAUAAAGGCUUUCGGGGAACGUGGGUUGCCUCGGCGACCGUUAUAGCCCUGAGCGCAAUGCCGCCUGCCGGGACUGAGGACCGCGCUUCGGCUAGGAUGCUGGCGUAAUGGUUGCAAGCGACCCGUCUUGAAACACGGACCAAGGAGUCUAACAUCUAUGCGAGUGUUUGGGCGUCAAACCCACGCGCGUAAUGAAGGUGAACGAAGGUGAGAGCUCUUCAGGGCGCAUCACCGACCGAUCCUGAUGUCUUGCGGAUGGAUUUGAGUGAGAGCAUAGCUGUUGGGACCCGAAAGAUGGUGAACUAUGCCUGAAUAGGGUGAAGCCAGAGGAAACUCUGGUGGAGGCUCGCAGCGGUUCUGACGUGCAAAUCGAUCGUCAAAUUUGGGUAUAGGGGCGAAAGACUAAUCGAACCAUCUAGUAGCUGGUUCACGCCGAAGUUUCCCUCAGGA
rnacentral:rRNA from 1 species